GCCGAAGUGGUGGAAUUUGGUAGACACGCUAUCUUGAGGGGGUAGUGGCUUACGGCCGUGCCGGUUCAAGUCCGGCCUUCGGCACCA
rnacentral:tRNA from 2 species